rnacentral:rRNA from 1 species
UACGUAGGUGGCAAGCGUUGUCCGGAUUUAUUGGGUUUAAAGGGUGCGUAGGCGGUUCCAUAAGUCAGUGGUGAAAUACGGCAGCUCAACUGUCGAGGUGCCAUUGAUACUGCGGAACUUGAGUGUUGAUGAGGCAGGCGGAAUUGACGGUGUAGCGGUGAAAUGCUUAGAUAUCGUCAAGAACACCGAUAGCGAAGGCAGCCUGCCAAGCAACAACUGACGCUCAGGCACGAAAGUGCGGGGAUCAAACAGG